UACGAAGGGGGGCUAGCGUUGCUCGGAAUCACUGGGCGUAAAGUGCACGUAGGCGGCUUCUUAAGUCAGGGGUGAAAUCCUGGAGCUCAACUCCAGAACUGCCUUUGAUACUGAGGAGCUUGAGUCCGGGAGAGGUGAGUGGAACUGCGAGUGUAGAGGUGAAAUUCGUAGAUAUUCGCAAGAACACCAGUGGCGAAGGCGGCUCACUGGCCCGGUACUGACGCUGAGGUGCGAAAGCGUGGGGAGCAAACAGG
rnacentral:rRNA from 1 species